rnacentral:sRNA from 1 species
UACCUUUUUCAGCUACACAAAAUCCUUUACGUUAACUUAAAAUAGUGCAUUUUAAGUUAACGUAAAGGAUUUUGUGUAGCUGAAAAAGGUA